CGGACGGGUGAGUAACGCGUGAGAAUCUAGCUCUAGGUCGGGGACAACCACUGGAAACGGUGGCUAAUACCGGAUGUGCCGAAAGGUGAAAGAUUUAUUGCCUAGAGAUGAGCUCGCGUCUGAUNAGCUAGUUGGUGUGGUAAGAGCGCACCAAGGCGACGAUCAGUAGCUGGUCUGAGAGGAUGAUCAGCCACACUGGGACUGAGACACGGCCCAGACUCCUACGGGAGGCAGCAGUGGGGAAUUUUCCGCAAUGGGCGAAAGCCUGACGGAGCAAUACCGCGUGAGGGAGGAAGGCUCUUGGGUUGUAAACCUCUUUUCUCAGGGAAUAAGAAAGUGAAGGUACCUGAGGAAUAAGCAUCGGCUAACUCCGUGCCAGCAGCCGCGGUAAUACGGAGGAUGCAAGCGUUAUCCGGAAUGAUUGGGCGUAAAGCGUCCGCAGGUGGCACUGUAAGUCUGCUGUUAAAGAGCAAGGCUCAACCUUGUAAAGGCAGUGGAAACUACAGAGCUAGAGUACGUUCGGGGCAGAGGGAAUUCCUGGUGUAGCGGUGAAAUGCGUAGAGAUCAGGAAGAACACCGGUGGCGAAAGCGCUCUGCUAGGCCGUAACUGACACUGAGGGACGAAAGCUAGGGGAGCGAAUGGGAUUAGAUACCCCUGAGUUCCCUAAACA
rnacentral:rRNA from 1 species